CUGGACUUAAUUCACUUCUAAAUCUUUGUCUGAAUAAAUAAAAUAGACUAACAUUCUUAAAUCUUAAUCUGUCAGGUCUGUUUUACGGACACUGAGUCAUGCUUAUAAACCUUUCCUGAAUAUGCUCCAGUUUCUCAAUGAUCUUUCUGAAGCAAGGACAUGAGAUCUAUACUCUCAUAAUACCUCUUUCCUGUUUUGGUUACCUCUUCUUUCUGCAGUCAAGGAUGGCACUCAAAAGUUUAGCUGCUGUGCUGCCACAGGACCAUACGCUUGUAUGGCUGCCUUGUAUGACUUCUACAUAGGAGACCUGGAGAAAAGACAAUAGCACUGCACAAGCCUCAGAGAAUGCAUGAGUACCUACACCACCAUCCAUCCCUUCCUGCAGCAUGUGGCGAUGCACACAGCACUGGGAUAGAUAUUUCUAUGCCCACUAAGACUGUAUUUGCCACUGCGACACAGAAUUGAAAGAUUAAUAUGCCACCCCAGUAUUUCCAUCUGAAUGUCAUUGUAGUGCCAAUAGACUCAUUUCAAACUGUCUGUUGGGAACAAGAUGUACAAAAAGGGACAGUGAAAAUGACCUCCUCCCUCCUGAUAGCCAGGUUAUGUGGUGCUUCCAGUAGAGCAACACAUCCCUCUGAUGACAGCAUGGAGUAUGCUGCAAAAGGCAUUGCAGAUCUGCUGUCUGUCUAGUGUUGACAGAUGCCACACUCCGAUGUGAAGUUCCUUACUUGGCCCAGCCAGCACCGGUUCAUGAAAGGCAGGUCAUGCUUGACUAACCUCAUCUCCUCCUACGACUGCGUGACCAGACUGGUAGACAAGGCAAAGGCUGUAGAUAUAGUCUACCUAGACUUCAGCAAAGCCUUUGACAUGGUCUCUCACAGUAUUCUCCUGGGGAAACUGGCUGCCCGUGGCCUGGACAGGUAUACCCUUCUUUGGGUAAGAAACUGGCUAGAGGGCCAUGCCCAAUGGGUAGUGGUUAAUGGAGUUAAGUCCAGCUGGUGACCCAUUACAAGUGGUGUCCCCAGGGAUCAGUACUGGGGCCCAUCCUGUUUAAUAUAUUUAUUGAUGACCUAGAUGAAGGGAUUGAGGGUACCCUCAGUAAGUUUGCAGAUUACACCAAGUUGGGAGGUGGUAUCGAUCUGCCUGAGGGUAGAAAGGUGCUUCAGAGGGAUCUAGAUAAGCUGGAUCUCUGGGCCGAAGUUAAUGGGAUGAGGUUCAACAAGGCCAAGUGCCAGGUCCUGCACUUUGGCCACAAUAAUCCCAUGCAGUGCUACAGGCUUGGGGCUGACUGCCUGGAGGACUGUGAAGAGGAGAGAGACCUGGGGGUCUUGGUUGAAGUUCGGCUGAACACAAGCCGACAGUCUGCUCACACAGCCAAGAGGGCCAAUGGCAUCCUGGCCUGCAUUAGAACUAGCGUGGCCAGCAGGAGCAGGGAGGUAAUCAGCUCCUGUACUCAGCACUGGUGAGGCCGCACCUCAAGUAUUGUGUUCAGUUUUGGGCCCCUCACUACAAGAAAGACACUGAGGCCCUGGAAUGUCUCCAGAGAAGGGCAGUGAAACUGGUGAAGGGUCUGAAGCACAAGUUUUAUGAGGAGCAGGUAAGGGAGCUGGGAUUGUUCUGUAUGGAGAAGAGGAGAUUCAGAGACCUCAUUGCACUUUAUAACUUCCUGAAGGGAGGUUGUGAUGAGGAGGGAUUUGGCAUUUUCUCCCAGGCAACAAACAGAACCCAAGGAAAUGGCCACAAGUUGUACCUGAGGAGGCUUAGGUUAGACAUAAGGAAAAACUUUUUCUCUCAGAGAGUGGUCAGGCACUGGAAUGGCCUGCCCAGGGAGGUAGUGGAGUCAUUGUCCCUGGCAGUGUUCAAGAGGUGCCUGGAUGAGGAGCUGCAAGAUAUGGUUUAGUGGCUUGUGGUAGCAAGGGUGAUGGGUGUACAGUUGGACUAUAUGAUCUUGUAGGUCCUUUCCAACCUUGAGAUUCUAUGAUUCUGUGAUUCAGUCAGGUGUAUGCUGAGCUGUCAAGGUCACACACUACUCCCUGCCCUUGCUGUAGAACUGUUAGCAGAUGCAAGUCAAUUACUCAGAGCAUCUGUAGCUUCCAUCUAUUGUUUUCUCUUCUUCUUACCUAACAAAACAUUUGAAUAACAAACAGACUAAGCCAUUUUCCUCAAUUACUAAUGCAUGUGGCUCACCUGGUGUUUGUAUUCCUGGGCUUGGCUCUGUUGUCGUUUUUCUUCUGAUUGGGAUAUUUACAAAAAUUGGAUGACAGGAAGAAAUUUAGCUAGGCUUGUACCAAGAGCUCAAAGACUGAAGCAUAGCUUUUUAAAGGCCUUAAAAAGAGAAUUGCUAUGUUAUCAAUGCUGACACCUCUCUCUAGCAGAGAGCUUUAACAGUCCAUAAGGUUCCAAUUCGUUGUUGUUUUUUUUUUUAAAAUCCUUAUUUAGAAAAUUAACAUGGUUAAUUUGAAAAUAGUAGUGGGUAAUACUAAGCAACCUUUCCAAAAGAACAUCUUACCUAAGACAACCAAAUGAAAAGGUGAACAGAAGAAAAAAAAUUUCAAUCUUCUGUUCCUUAGCUGCACAGUUUAGAAAGCAGAAACAUGUAAUCUCCAACUACUGUAACUGAUAAAUAGGGUACGAAACAGCUGGUCAGCAUAUUUUGGGACAGAUUUUUCUGCACACUUUUGCAGCCGUGUGCCAAGCACUGAGAAGACACAGUCAACCAGGUCCUCCACAUGCAUACAUAGGCCUAUUUACAGUCAAAUCACCAAAGCUGUACUGUGACACUCAAAAAAGACCUGGUUGAUCACUAGCAUGUAUUUCAAAUGUGAGCUGUUUUGUGCUUGAAGUUCUGAAGGAGAGAGAGGAAUAUCUUUAAAGAAAAAAGUAAUUGUAGUAAAUGAUAGAAAUAUCUCUGAAGUUCUCAGGUUUAAGCUCCAUCUAUCCAGGCUAGACUUCCACAUCUUGCACCUCCCCCGUACAAUUGGAACAGGGCAGCCACGUCAAAGCCACUUCUGAAGAGCCCUCCUGGGGCCCCUUGGCUGCUUCUGCAAAAAGGGUUACCGUAUAAGUGGGGGGCUCCCUGCUCACUGCAGCACUGUCCUGCAGUCCAAGCAGUGUGGCUUCAUUGACUUUCAAAGAGCUGCUUUAGGUCUACACAGGAUUAGGGUGACCAGGAUGGAAGCAUUCAAAGAAUGAUCAGUUUUACUUAAUGCUGAUGUUACUCAUAUCAUCACACAGAUCUGAGCCAGCAGUCACUGCCUGCUCCUUGCAGGCCACAGCCAGGAGAUGAAGGAGCCAGAAGUAGCCCAGGGGGCAUCAGAUUCAGUCCCAGGGAUUUAGAAGCCAAGGUGUAAUCUAGCAAACAUGCUACUUUAACCAAGUGCCGUAUGCUUUUUCAUUGUUUUCCUUUUGCAAAAUCAGCUUAUAAGUCAUUUUUACUUUCCCAUGUAGAUCUAACAUAUUCUCGAGCCCUUAGAAAGGAUUCUAUCAGCUUCACAAAGGUUUGAAUCAUAUCUUUAGCAACCCACCCAUGGAAAAAAAUGAGGAUAAAAAGAAAGCAGAGACUGUUUCUUUCUUCCCUUACAGAUUUGUAAAGAAAGAAAAAAAAAGUUGGAUUUUUUUUCUCUUUUCUAUGCUAGAAUCAGGCACAGAGCUCCGAGCAAAGUUCAAUGCCAGCAUCCCACUCUGGGGGUGCCUACACUUUAAAAUCCUUCCCUAUCAGACAAGAUACCAAAGGACACCUUUGGAUUUCUUCUUUGGUAAAAAUGAGAUGUCUGGGCAGCGGGGGGGGGGGGGGGGGGGGGGGGGGGGGGGGGGGGGGGGGGGGGGGGGGGGGCAGUUGCAUGUACAUAUAUCUGGCUGACACAGAGAGAAGUGUUUUCACAAGUAAUGGCUAAGGGUGAGAAGAGGCUGUUCACCUCCUGUACAAUCAACAAAUAUACAAUUAGCAGAGUGGCAUGGUUAGGCUGAUAUUUUACAGAUCAUGUAACUAGAAUGAUUAUCAUGAUAGAAAAAGAUAAACAAAAAUAAAUGAAAUGCUCACCCAUGCCCUAGGUUCACAGAAAAAACUCCAAAGGGAGCAAUCCCCAGAAAGAGAUCCUCCUGUUAGUCAGCCCUUAAAUGGGGUCUAGGAGAGGUGGAACCAGGCUCCACUCCUUCCAGUCACACAGGUGAUUUGCCUUCACCUGUGCCCCCAUGGCUGACCCAGCCCUUGCCUCAGGUGAUCCACCAGUGGUUCAGGCCAUGAUUCAACAGUUCCCAUACACCUAUCUGCAUUGUUCGUCUGCCGCUUGUGUGCUUAAGAGGGCACAUUUGUUUUAGAUGACAAGUUCAACACAAGUCUAGGGGAGAGCUGUUUUCUUCUCCCAGCACAGACACAGUGUACACUUUCACGUGUCCUACAUCUCAGAGCAAUAAGAUACUCUGGGGCAAGUCGCCUUCUUGAUCAUCCAUCCUCAGGACAGCAUUGUUACCCAUGGAGCAGUUAACCAGAGUGCCUGGAUGUUCACUCAGUGUGGUCUUGUAGGUGGAUGUGAAUCCAGGCUAAGUGAGGGACCUUGGACACACAGAAGCUAUAGUUACUCCCUGUUAUAUAAUAAUAUUUGUAUUUACAGGAUGAACAGGAGGCCUGAGCAUCUGUGUAUGAUUUACUGAUUACUGACCUAUUAAAUAUUUGUUGCUAGGGAAUACAGCAAUUGUGAUGUCACACAAUGAAAGUGCUCUGGUUGUAAAAAUCACCUUUAUACUACUUAUAGUGCAAGGAAUUUCAUAGUUUCCAAAUCCACUUAACCACCUAAGUAAUAUUCUUUAACAUGAGAAUCCAAUUCAUUUUGCACUUUAGUAGGUAAAUGCAGUGAAAAUUUGAGACAUAGCAGCAGGCAUUGCAUUUGUAGCUAAUUAAGGAAAACUGGAUUGAGCCCAGAUGUGGAUUAUGCAAAGUGAUCACUGGUGUUCCUUAGAAGCUGAUAAUUUUGAAAGCAUUUCCUUGUGUUUGUUCACUUUUUAAGUGUGCCAAGAUAAAAAAGCUUCUGAAGGGGGAAAAACAGGCUUCCACAGAAUAAAGCUAUCAAUGGCAAUUAUUUCCAUCGUUUCAAAUUGAUGUAUAUGGUAGUUAAUGAUCAGGUUGCAGCCAUUCUUUAAACCAAAAUCUGCCACUGAGAUUUCCAAAUUGAGUGCAGCAAAAAAGUUUUCAGCUACUGAAAGUUAGUAAAUGUAGGGCUUGGCACCCACUCCAAUUCCCACUGGAGAAAUUUGUGACAUAAUGAUAUUUCGUUUUUGUUCUGGAAAAAAAGACAACAUAAUAAAUGUUAAUUGUUAAAGAUAAGACCGUGUUAUGUCUAAUUCCACCAAACAGCAGAGUGAACAAAGCUGCUAAUGGAGGACAAAGAUAGUCCACCUGAGGAAAAGAGGCAGAAUCUGGCUUCCUAGAAGCAAAAGAAUGAUAGCACUAUGUCCGGAUCUUUAAUACAGCAUUAAGAGAUACAAAAAACUUACUAUGUAAAUAAGGAACACAAUGGUUUUAAAUUUCUUUUUGACAUAAACUGAUUUUAAUAUUUUUGAUAAGUUAUCAAAUAUCCAUCAGAAGCCUGGGGGAAGAAACUGCCAGAAAAAUAUAGGCAGUUUGAAGCUUGAAUUUAUACUGUUUUUGUGGUGGGAAACUUGCCCAAAUGUUUGAUUUUACAAAGCUGACAUGUGGUUUGGCAGUAUCCACAGAAGCUUCUGCUUUCUCUCUUUCUUUUCUUUUCUUUUUUUUUUUUUUAAUUUGUAUUGAUCUUGUUAAAUGCUAAUGAUUCAGUAUAACUCAGCUUUAGACACUUUCCAAUUAAAAAUAGUGCCAUUCUGCAGUGCAGCCAUUAUAAAUUUAUAUGAUUUUUAAACACAAUAUGCCUCUCCUGGGUCUUUGUAAUCAGCUUUUGAACUAUUCUUCUCUAUUUGUUAUAAUUAUGUUGACAAAUAUUGCAGCAUACAAAAUAUAUUUUGGUGGUGAAACAGAAUAGACAGAAUUUUCCAUUUCCAUUCUGUCUUGUUUGCACUAAACUGGACACUCAUAUUUUCUGUUUCUGUUCCUAAAGAUAUUUACACCAUUUACUAUCGUGCAAGCAAAAGGGAAAAUUUUCACUCUGCACUUUCUCAGGCUGUUGUCCCUCAUCCACAGCUCUCAUCAGUCACGUUCAGCCCACAGAUGCUGAAAGCAGACAUGAAGGGGUAGAUACACCCACAUAGCUCACUGCAACAUGGACAGUGGUGCUGCCUAGGCAGUCUCUGCCUGGAAAACUUUGCAACCAAGGCAAUAGGUGGGAAAUGGGAUGCAGACAGACAGUGAGUGCAGGAAAGCACUUCUCAGCGUCCCAGAAGUUCACCUACUCUCAGCCUUUUGGAGGCACCAGGGAAAAGGAUGGUCUUGAAAGAAAACAAGGAUGUUUUGAAGCUGUUUCCCACAAUUCUCCUUGAACAAGAGAAUGAUAUCAGAAGAGAAAGCUCAAAGGCACUUGUUGGUUGUUUAGGAAAGUGUUGAAAACCUAGUCAGCUGGGAAACUUUCAGUUAGUCUGGACAAGAUAAACGUGUGGUAGGACAGGAUCGUGGGGAAGAAGGCUGUUGGGUGUUGGUAACUGUUUCCUUUAGUAACUCUAUUAAGGGGGACACCAGUGGACACAAAUAAUUGAAGUUGCGUACUAUAGAUAUUUGUUAAGAUUCAGAGCAAUAUCAAGCUGUGUAAAAGAUGUGUUAUCAACACGGAUUUCAUUAUAUCAAUUGAAACCCAAACAGAGGCAUUAAAAAAAAAAAAAAAAAAAAAAAAAGUGACAGGAUAGUAGAUAGUCUUUGCACACAGGCCUGACCUAUGUUUAAUCAAAGUGAGUAAGGACAAAAACACGGCAGCCUUCAAGAACUAUAUUUCAUCUGUGAACCUAACUAUUGUCCUGAUUUUGCUGAACUCACAAAACUGUACAGACAAAACAUUCUUCAUUAAACAGGGAAAUUAUACACUGCAUUCAGCAGCCUGAUAUGGAGCUAUUAUCUUAUAUACAGACAUGUGCUGUUUUUCUGUGUACUCACAAAACAUCUCCUGUCCUCUUUGCUUAAAUUUUGGCCUCAGGAGAAAGCAGCUUUUAUUUUCUCAGCAAAAUAUUCCUAAACAUAGCAAGAAAUAUGGGAAAAUAAGUUGCUAUCUAUGUGCAUGCAAUGAAGAAAUAAGCCUGUCUAUAAAGGUAAUAUUUUCUUCCAGCCCUAUUAUUAAAGCCUUGAUUGUAAGUUCUCUGGCCUAUUUUUCAUUUCUUAUGGUGUUUGAAGUUUUAAAAGCAAUUAGCAACAAAGACUCAUAGAGGCAAAGUUGAUUUUAAACCUUUCCAGUUUCAGUAAUCUACAGAAGUGUCAAUAACUCACGUUAAGAUGUUUCUAGGAGUACAUAAGAAAAAUACUAUUCUGCUGCCCAUCCCAGCAAUCUCAGAACAUAACUCCUGAUUAGUGUUUUGAUAGCGCUUCUGGAGACAGGCUGAAGCAUCAACAAGUUUGCUACAUACAGCUCUUAAAAACAUACAUACCUUUAAUGGUAAUUUCCAGAGUAUUACUGCAGGACAAUAAAGCAAAUAUCCUUCACAUGAUUUGGCCUUUUCAAAGAUUUCUUUGGACGUGGUAUCAUCACAGAUGCUAACAGUUUCUUAACAGUCUUUCAGUUUCUUAGUCAGAGACCUUUUUAAGUAAAACAAAGCUGUGGUUUCCCUCUGGCUUCAAGGUUGUCAGCAAAAAUUCUACAGAACUCAACAUAGUGUGAGUGCAGUCCUGAAGUAUUUGUCGCCUUCUAACUUUUAUUCUCCAGUGUGUACUGGGAGCAUCUGUAAAGGAGGAGUGGAAUGCUCUCUGAGGGCCAUGAUGGGAGCCCCCCAGCCUCUCCAGCAGCGCAUGUUAUCUGCAUUUCAGAGGUGUGUCCCAUCACUGACCUCAAUACAACUUCUCACUACAGUGCUCUGCAUUAGGAGACCCAUCAGCACUGUGCUCACUUUUUCAGCUCCAAUGCUCCUCCCAGUGCCCAUCUCUCACCUGCUGGGCACCACUGAGUUUUCUCCCCAGGCCUUGCUAAACUGUGAUUUUGGAUGGUUCCAUCUCAAAACCAGGAAGCUGACCAGAUUUGUUUGAAAAUGGGACUAGUUUCAUUCAAACCACGUCAUAAACUUCAACAGAGUCUGGAUUUUGACUUUCUUGUGAAACUUGAAACCACAUGUGUUCCACAUGCUUUAGGGUUUUGUCGUGAAUAUCUUACAUAGCUCUCUGGGAAUAACCUUUUCUUGUGGGCUUUUAGCAUUUCCUAUCCCAGCCAGAACCAUAAAAAGCAAAGACUGGAAAAUAUGAAAACUGAAAUUAUGUGGGAAAAGAGAGGACUUAACUUUUUAAGCCUCAGACAAAGUUUGUGUUCAUUUAGAGCUCAGAGUAAAGUUUUGAAUUAAUCCAUGUUUUAUUUAAACUGUUAGCCUUAAUUAGGUGCACUCACAAGAAAUCACUUCCGCUCCAAUACAAAAUCAUGGAGCUUGCAACACAUGGAAAUUAUAAACACUUCGGAGUGACAUGAGGGAUGGGUGUUGGCUCUGCAGCAGCAGAAGAGCAAAUAUUUACAGUACAUUAGGCUUUGCUUCGCUCCUAAAUUAUUAUCUUCCCCUCUGGAAUAAUCUAUUUUCCAAAGACGGAUAGAUACUAGUGCCAGUUCCCUCCCCAUCAGUUCUGUGACAGGCAAUUCUUUUUCCUUUAUUUCUAUAUUGAACUUUCUUGUUCUAGCUCUCCACAGAGCUAAAUGAGAACUAAGAAAAUUCUUAGUUUGCUGUCUCUUUUGUCCCUGAAUCACGCUUGAGCCUCUGGCAAGUUAUUAUACUCCUCUGAGCUUCAGGUUUCUCUUUUUCAAAAUAAAGAUACCAAAAGUUAACCUCUUAACAGAGGUGUUAAUUCAUAUCCAUAAGAGGACUUUAAAAUAGAAAGUGAUAUAUAAUGUUAAUUAGUCAUAUUAUGGCUGCUUAUUCCAAAAGCCCAAAGAAGCUGUUACUUUACAGAUUACUUAAGUUAAUGCUAAAAUAUUCCCAUCUUUGGUCUCACAGGACUCAGCUACGGAAAGUUAAAUACAAUGAAAGAAACACUACGGCAUAAAGGGGAAGAAAUAAUUACACAUAGCAUUUUUAUUCCCCUGGUAUAAAUCUGCAGUGCAUGAUGUGCUGUUAGGUUCUGCAGUAAAUGUACAACAACCUGGCUUUGCGCUUACAAUAGCUAAAACCAUCUGCGUACGUGUAAAACCUUUGCUGGCAGGUUUCCAUGUGUGGUUCAUGCAUUCCUUUGCCUGUGCAAUUUGAAGCUGUCAAAAACUAAUUAAAUAAUUAUGUGGUUGUUACUGCAGCUGUGUGUAUUCUUCAUUACGCUAUAAGGCUGCGGUUUGAGGCACUCUCCUGCUCUGGGUUUCAAAAUAUUAGUAAUGGAAGGUGUGUUGUUGGUGCAUGUUCUGCUGCUGCCAGAAAAAGCAGAGAGGGAAGGGAACCAUCUUUAAUAUAAGUUUGUCACUGCACUUUUUACUCUAUUUUCCCAGUACACAACACAGAGGUGGAAAUAAAAGUUCGCUCCUUGCAGCAGACAGAAUUCUGCAUGGCCUGCCCUGCAUGCAAGAUCUCGGGAAAUCCCUGCAGGGCCUCUCUGGCAGGUGUGUGACCAAAGAGCAGCUCUGCAGUGCUGCCAGGCCUGCAGAGGUGGACUGUGAGUUGACAGCAGGAGGGUGAGACCAUGGUCUCUUCCUAGACCAGGCCCAGGCCACUCUUGGCCCUGCUCCUGACUCAGCCCCAAGGGCCCCUCCUCCCUGUCACUGAGUUAGGGGUGACACUCCAAGAACAAACUGAGUGGGUUUAACAGCAAUUGUAAUUAAACUUGAUCUCAGUCUGAGGGUGCUGUAUAGAUGCAACACAGCAUUGCUUAAUUUAGUCUUUGGCCAAAUUAUGACACUGUCACUCACCAACAUAAGUUUUCCAUUGAAUAACAAGAAACUGUCUCUGCAGUAAAAUAAUUCCUGGUUCCCCUACCUAGUGGGGAGCUCUAUAAUAUAACUCUUGUGUAUAUAUAACUCUUGUAAUGAUAGAAACAUAGCUAUCAUUUACAUUGACUGAAACAGCAUAAGUGGGCAGCAGAAGAACAGACUCAAUGCAACGGACGUAACCCUACCCUGUGUCUGCUGACCAUGUGCAGUAGAAGAAGGGGAAGCAGCCCACUGUGAAGGCAUGUGAGAUCUCCUCACCAGGAAAGGUAUUUCUCAGGACUACUUAAUGAAGCUGCUGAGUCAGUCCAUAUGCAGAUAGAGCUGCUAUUUCCAUACCAAAACAGGAGAUAUCAAGGAUGUUUUCUAUUGCUGUAGAAGAAAUGUCCUGUUUCCACAUGCAGUGGCAUUUUAGAAACAGAAUGGCUGUUGGAGUAACAGCAGCAGCAGCAAAGCUGACUAUUACAGAAAGUCUCCAAUUUAUUAUAUUUGUGGAGCAACUUCAUUUUUAAUAAGGUUUUCCUCUAAUUUGUGGAACUGUAUCAUCACAUCUACAUUUGUCUGCAGGACUAAAUGUUCAAAAAUGCUAAUAAAAGGAAAAUUCCAGAUGCUGACUUUUUAAAAAAUGUUUUUCUUGUAUGCACCCACAGUACAAUACAUCAGGGCAGAUGCUCUCCUCCUCAUGUCUUCACAUGAUUUAUAACUAUUGCCCUAGAAGAUACAGUCUUUCUCCGUCUGCUCAGCAAUCAUUUACUACCUAAAGCAAUUUGUUUGGUAAGAGCCCUUCUCAGAUUUUCCCACAGAAAGCAUGGAGGUGAGUAGUGAAAAGAUUCCUGAAAACUAAAGCUAGGAGACAAAAAAGCUCCUUUCAGAAAAUCCAGGCUGGAAGCUAACGGCUUUGACUGGCCUAUGCCUCUGGGUCCCCCUCGUGGCCCAGCACAAAGAAGAGCUGUCGCCACCUCGUGUACACAGUCCAACACACCGAUACACAGGCAAAUCCCACGCAUAGGAAGGACAAACAUGCUGGUAACCUGCGAGAGAGCUGAUCCAAACCUGUUUCUCAUUAAUUC
ensembl:lncRNA